rnacentral:tRNA from 1 species
GCCUGGCUAGCUCAGUCGGUGGAGCAUGUGACUCUUGAUCUCGGGGUCAUGAGUUCGAGCCCCAUGUUGGGUG